UCUGGCUUAAAAAGAGGGGUAUAUUACAGAUGUGUCUGCUAUGUCACAUGUGUGCCAGUAGGUGGCAGAAACUAUAGAAGCUAUGUCUAUACUUGGUUUUGAUCUGUGAUCAUUUGAAUGAUUAGUAAUCUUAACAU